rnacentral:rRNA from 1 species
AACGAACGCUGGCGGCAGGCUUAACACAUGCAAGUCGAACGGCUGUAGCAAUACAGCAGUGGCAGACGGGUGAGUAACACGUGGGAACCUUCCUAGGGGUACGGAACAACUCAGGGAAACUUGAGCUAAUACCGUAUACGUCCGAAAGGAGAAAGAUUUAUCGCCCUUAGACGGGCCCGCGUCGGAUUAGCUAGUUGGUGGGGUAACGGCCUACCAAGGCGACGAUCCGUAGCUGAUCUGAGAGGAUGAUCAGCCACACUGGGACUGAGACACGGCCCAGACUCCUACGGGAGGCAGCAGUGGGGAAUCUUGGACAAUGGGCGCAAGCCUGAUCCAGCCAUGCCGCGUGAGUGAAGAAGGCCUUAGGGUUGUAAAGCUCUUUUGGCAGGGACGAUAAUGACGGUACCUGCAGAAUAAGCCCCGGCAAACUUCGUGCCAGCAGCCGCGGUAAUAC